UACGUAGGGUGCAAGCGUUGUCCGGAAUUAUUGGGCGUAAAGAGCUCGUAGGCGGUUCGUCGCGUCGGCUGUGAAAUCCCGAGGCUCAACCUCGGGUCUGCAGUCGAUACGGGCGGACUGGAGUUCGGCAGGGGAGACUGGAAUUCCAGGUGUAGCGGUGAAAUGCGUAGAUAUCUGGAGGAACACCGGUGGCGAAGGCGGCAUCCUGGACCGACACUGACACUGAGGAGCGAAAGCCAGGGGAGCAAACGGG
rnacentral:rRNA from 1 species